UACGUAGGGUGCGAGCGUUGUCCGGAAUUACUGGGCGUAAAGAGCUCGUAGGUGGUUUGUCGCGUUGUCCGUGAAAACUCACAACUCAAUUGUGGGCGUGCGGGCGAUACGGGCAGACUGGAGUACUGCAGGGGAGACUGGAAUUCCUGGUGUAGCGGUGGAAAUGCGCAGAUAUCAGGAGGAACACCGGUGGCGAAGGCGGGUCUCUGGGCAGUAACUGACGCUGAGGAGCGAAAGCGUGGGGAUCAAACAGG
rnacentral:rRNA from 1 species